CUCGAUUUCAAUACAGCGACGCUGAAAUGUGUCUCUCCUUUGCGUUAAGUUGGCUUUGAGCGGCCAACGUACAUGGCGUAUCACCUAGAGGCGCGGGAUAUAAUUGUGGUCUGGGCCUCAGAUUUCUGUAUCUAUUUCAUGAUCAUUUGACAUUUCGUAUUGCAUUAUAUUUAAGAUCUCCAUAUUUCCAUAUAUCUCAUAUGGAUACCAAACGUGAAUUUUUAUUAAGGCGCUUAUAAAUAAAAUUGGAUAUGCUAAAUGACCCUUAUAAUGGCCCAGUGACAAGAAAAGCAGAAUCCUGGGAAGAUGAAAUAAAAGAGAUAGUGGGGAAAUAUUGGCCAAUAGAAGCGAAGACGAGAAAUGGAAGAAUCUGGAACAGACCUUCACUCCAUCGGAGGAUCUUCACUGUCAGGGCAAAGGAUGGCGGCGAAAGCCUGGAGCCAGUCGUACAGGUUGAUGUGCUUUCCGCACUCGCGGUGAAG